UACGAAGGGUGCAAGCGUUAAUCGGAAUUACUGGGCGUAAAGCGCACGUAGGCGGUUUCUUAAGUCGGGGGUGAAAUCCUGGAGCUCAACUCCAGAACUGCCUUCGAUACUGGGAAACUUGAGUCCGGGAGAGGUGAGUGGAACUGCGAGUGUAGAGGUGAAAUUCGUAGAUAUUCGCAAGAACACCAGUGGCGAAGGCGGCUCACUGGCCCGGUACUGACGCUGAGGUGCGAAAGCGUGGGGAGCAAACAGG
rnacentral:rRNA from 1 species